rnacentral:rRNA from 1 species
CCUACGGGAGGCAGCAGUGAGGAAUAUUGGUCAAUGGGCGCGAGCCUGAACCAGCCAAGUAGCGUGAAGGAUGACUGCCCUACGGGUUGUAAACUUCUUUUAUAAAGGAAUAAAGUGCGGCACGUGUGACUUUUUGUACGUACUUUAUGAAUAAGGAUCGGCUAACUCAGUGCCAGCCGCCGCGGUAAUCAGGAGGAUCCGAGCGUUAUCCGGAUGUAUUGGGUUUAACGGGAGCGUAGAUGGGUUGUUAAGUCAGUAGUGAAAGUUUGCGGCUCAACCGUAAAAUUGCAAUUGAUACUGGCAGGCUUGAGUACAGUUGAGGUAGGCGGAAUUCGUGGUGUAGCGGUGAAAUGCUUAGAUAUCACGAAGAACUCCGAUUGCGAAGGCAGCUUACUAAACUGCCACUGACAUUGAUGCUCGAAAGUGUGGGUAUCAAACAGGAUUAGAUACCCCAGUAGUC